rnacentral:rRNA from 1 species
AGAGUUUGAUCCUGGCUCAGGACGAACGCUGGCGGCGUGCUUAACACAUGCAAGUCGAGCGGUAAGGCCCUUUCGGGGGUACACGAGCGGCGAACGGGUGAGUAACGCGUGAGUAACCUGCCCCCCUCUCUGGGAUAACAGUUGGAAACGGCUGCUAAUACCGGAUAUUCAGACCUUUAGGCAUCUUUUGGUUUGGAAAGUUCUGGCGGUGGGGGAUGGACUCGCGUCCUAUCAGCUUGUUGGUGGGGUAGUGGCCUACCAAGGCGACGACGGGUAGCCGGCCUGAGAGGGCGACCGGCCACAUUGGGACUGAGAUACGGCCCAAACUCCUACGGGAGGCAGCAGUGGGGAAUAUUGCACAAUGGGGGAAACCCUGAUGCAGCAACGCCGCGUGCGGGAUGACGGCCUUCGGGUUGUAAACCGCUUUCAGCCAUGACGAAGCUUUUGUGACGGUAGUGGCAGAAGAAGCACCGGCUAACUACGUGCCAGCAGCCGCGGUGAUACGUAGGGUGCGAGCGUUGUCCGGAAUUAUUGGGCGUAAAGAGCUUGUAGGCGGUUUGUCGCGUCGAAAGUGUAAACUCAGUGCUUAACGCUGAGCCUGCUUUCGAUACGGGCUGACUAGAGGAAGGUAGGGGAGAAUGGAAUUCCCGGUGGAGCGGUGGAAUGCGCAGAUAUCGGGAGGAACACCAGUGGCGAAGGCGGUUCUCUGGACCUUUCCUGACGCUGAGAAGCGAAAGCGUGGGUAGCAAACAGGCUUAGAUACCCUGGUAGUCCACGCCGUAAACGGUGGGUACUAGGUGUGGGGGACAUUCCACGUUCUCUGUGCCGUAGCUAACGCAUUAAGUACCCCGCCUGGGGAGUACGGCCGCAAGGCUAAAACUCAAAGGAAUUGACGGGGCCCCGCACAAGCGGCGGAGCAUGCGGAUUAAUUCGAUGCAACGCGAAGAACCUUACCUGGGUUUGAAAUAUACCGGAAACGUCUAGAGAUAGGCGCCCCGUAAGGUCGGUAUACAGGUGGUGCAUGGCUGUCGUCAGCUCGUGUCGUGAGAUGUUGGGUUAAGUCCCGCAACGAGCGCAACCCUCGUCUAAUGUUGCCAGCAAGUUAUGUUGGGGACUCGUUAGAGAC